rnacentral:rRNA from 1 species
AUUGAACGCUGGCGGCAUGCUUUACACAUGCAAGUCGAACGGUAACAGGCCUUCGGGUGCUGACGAGUGGCGAACGGGUGAGUAAUGCAUCGGAACGUGCCCAGAGGUGGGGGAUAACGCAGCGAAAGCUGUGCUAAUACCGCAUGUGAUCUGAGGAUGAAAGCGGGGGACCAAGCAGCAAUGUUUGGCCUCGCGCCUCUGGAGCGGCCGAUGUCAGAUUAGGUAGUUGGUGGGGUAAAGGCCUACCAAGCCGACGAUCUGUAGCUGGUCUGAGAGGACGACCAGCCACACUGGGACUGAGACACGGCCCAGACUCCUACGGGAGGCAGCAGUGGGGAAUUUUGGACAAUGGGCGCAAGCCUGAUCCAGCAAUGCCGCGUGCGGGAAGAAGGCCUUCGGGUUGUAAACCGCUUUUGUACGGAACGAAAACGCUCUGGCUAAUACCUGGGGCUGAUGACGGUACCGUAAGAAUAAGCACCGGCUAACUACGUG